rnacentral:rRNA from 1 species
UGGGGAAUAUUGCACAAUUGGCGCAAGCCUGAUGCAGCCAUGCCGCGUGUGUGAAGAAGGCCUUCGGGUUGUAAAGCACUUUCAGCGAGGAGGAAGGUGGUGAGCUUAAUACGCUCAUCAAUUGACGUUACUCGCAGAAGAAGCACCGGCUAACUCCGUGCCAGCAGCCGCGGUAAUACGGAGGGUGCAAGCGUUAAUCGGAAUUACUGGGCGUAAAGCGCACGCAGGCGGUUUGUUAAGUCAGAUGUGAAAUCCCCGGGCUCAACCUGGGAACUGCAUUUGAAACUGGCAAGCUAGAGUCUCGUAGAGGGGGGUAGAAUUCCAGGUGUAGCGGUGAAAUGCGUAGAGAUCUGGAGGAAUACCGGUGGCGAAGGCGGCCCCCUGGACGAAGACUGACGCUCAGGUGCGAAAGCGUGGGGCAGCAAAACAGGAUUAGAUACCCUGGUAGUCCACGCUGU